GAUGAAGAACGUAGCGAAAUGCGAUAAGUAAUGUGAAUUGCAGAAUUCAGUGAAUCAUCGAAUCUUUGAACGCACCUUGCGCCCUUUGGCUAUUCCGAAGGGCAUGCCUGUUUGAGUAUCAUGAACACCUCAACUCUUUAUGGUUUUCCAUGAAGGGCUUGGACUUUGGGGGUCUUGCUGGCCUUUAGUCAGCUCCUCUCAAACGAAUCAGCUUUCCAGUGUUUGGCAGCGUCACAGGUGUGAUAACUAUCUACGCUUGUGGUUUUCUGCCAGGUAAUCCUCAGUGAUGGGGAUUCGCUGGGGCUUAUAAAUGUCUCUCCUCAGCGAAGACAGCUUUGUGAACGUUUGAUCUCAAAUCUGGUAGGACUACCCGCUGAACUUAAGCAUAUCAAUAAGCGGAGGA
rnacentral:misc_RNA from 1 species